rnacentral:lncRNA from 1 species
UAUUAUUAAAUAUAUUUAUAUAAAUAUAUAUAAUAAAUAUAAAAAUAAUUUUUAGACCUUUACCUUCCAUAGUAGAAUCAAUACUGUGUCUUUGUUCCAAGGCAGAAGAGGGAUAAGGGCUAGGCAAUGGAAGUUAAGUGGUUUGCCACCACUUUGACUGAGGCCAAAUCUGACCCAGGACCUUCUGUAAAGGUACAGCCAAAACUGGAAAUAGUGGCCAGACAGGAUGUCAGCAGAGUGGGCUACUCACUGGGGCCUUCCUCUGAUCACAGCCCACGUUUCAGUGGGGGGCAGCUCCUAAGCCAAGUUCUGAAGGAGAUCAUCGACAUGUAUGGAUUCCCUGAUAUUGCUCCUUGGAUAUAACCAUCUGCUAAGUGUAAAUUUUCCCCUGAUGUUUAAUAAAAAUAGAAAGGAGAAUGAAUGAAGCUGCUUA